GGAACAAGAAAAGGAUGUUGAAGUAGUUGAGGAAUUCUCCAUCUUUCAUUCCGAUCCCAAGCAAGACAUUUUUUCAUAAGAUCAAGAAGCCAGGGAUUAGAAACUGGACCAUAAGCUAUUUCAUGUUUUGGGUCUGUUAUAACUUUGAACUUAGACCAGAAAGUCUUGUACUCUGCAAAGGGGGUUCUCCCAUAUACCAUUUGGUAGAGUAUGCAGCCAAGAGACCAAAUAUCUGAUGGCCGACCACACUUUAUUGUGUUUCCAUUUGCAUCACUCUCGUUGCACAUGAAUGCCUCAGGAGACAUGUAGCUUAGAGUACCCACCUGUGAAUCCCUUUGGAUGUUAGUCGUAUCACUCAUUAUGGCUUUGGCAAUUCCAAAAUCAAUCAACUUUAGAGCACCUUUGACAAGAAGAAAAUUAGCUGGCUUCAAGUCAGAGUGCACUAUGCGUUCCUCAUGUAUGGUGUUGACAGCUUGAAGUAUUUGCUGCCAGUAAAAUCUCAGCCAAUUCUCAUCUAUGGACUGAUUGGCGCUAUCCAGUUCCUUCCAUUUCUGUGAAAGCAUGUGAGCCAAAUCAAUUUCCCCAUAUUCAAGGACCAUGUAUAUAUAUCCAUCAUCCUUAACUCUGGCAUCUUUAUUACUCACAGAUCCAUUCAUGACUUCACAGAGCAAAUUUUUAUCUGUUACCUCAUAGUCUAUUAACUGUAUGAUAUUGUUCUUUCUCUUCAAUUUCUUUAGAUACUCAAUUUCCUGACAAAAACCAUAUGCAG
rnacentral:misc_RNA from 1 species